CAGUAGCCGCGGUAAUACGAAGGGGGCUAGCGUUGUUCGGAAUUACUGGGCGUAAAGCGCGCGUAGGUGGUUUGUUAAGUUGGAUGUGAAAGCCCCGGGCUCAACCUGGGAACUGCAUCCAAAACUGGCAAGCUAGAGUACGGUAGAGGGUGGUGGAAUUUCCUGUGUAGCGGUGAAAUGCGUAGAUAUAGGAAGGAACACCAGUGGCGAAGGCGACCACCUGGACUGAUACUGACACUGAGGUGCGAAAGCGUGGGGAGCAAACAGGAUUAGAUACCCGUGUAGUCCCUGUCUCUUAUAC
rnacentral:rRNA from 1 species